GAGGAUUAGAGGAAUACCUCUAGGGUAACUAGAUUACCUUGUAGAUGAUCGCAGCAACACCCGAGGUUCUAAAAUAGCCACGCAGUUGUCUGGCCUCUACCAGUAUCUACUCGAGUAGGAUCUGGAUUAUCUUCUCCUCACAAAUCUCUGCUCCAAAAAUCAGAUCUGGAUCUAAUCUGGAAGAUCUUCUGAAGCUAGAGCAGUAGCUUCUCGACAAAUCCCUGCAGCC
rnacentral:lncRNA from 1 species